GACGAACCGUGCGAACGUUGUUCGGAAUCACUGGGCUUAAAGGGCGCGUAGGCGGACGACCAAGUCGGGGGGUGAAAUCUUUCGGCUCAACCGGAAAAUAGCCUUCGAUACUGGCCGUCUAGAGGGAGGUAGGGGCGUGUGGAACUUCCGGUGGAGCGGUGAAAUGCGUUGAUAUCGGAAGGAACUCCGGUGGCGAAGGCGGGUCUCUGGGCAGUAACUGACGCUGAGGAGCGAAAGCGUGGGGAGCGAACAGG
rnacentral:rRNA from 1 species